GGGGAGCUGUGCUUAUGUUGUUUUUUUUUUAAUCCAAUGCCUGUGCGAAAGUUCUCAGAUGAGACUUCUCUCCUAUUGAUGCUGGGACGGGACACAGCUGGGACGGAAAUAGAGGAUGAGUCACUCUCUGUCUACAGAGAUUAAUCCGACUGUGCGUCUGUUUCUGUGAUAAGUGCGUCUGCAAGUUUGCGUGUGUUUUUCAACUCCCGUGUCUUCCCAGCUCUCAUAUAGCCCGAAGGUAGCAGGUCUGCACGGCAACACUCCUGGAAGAAGCUCCGAACUCAUCGUUACUCAAGCUAUAUCGUUGCGCAAGAUCUGUAAACCCAACCGCUCAGAGCUCAGCAGAAGAUAUUUUCCACAGUCUGGUCAUGCUAAGGAGUACACAAAUGAGCAGGCAGAUUAAUUGGAGGCCAGUCCUUCCUCACCAGAGGACAAUCUGGAUAUGUUAUCAGUAUGGACAAGUUAUAGUUUGAAAACUCUUAUUCAGACUUAAUUACGAUCAUUAAACUUCAGGUUAUACUACUGGCAACCAUGUAAGCCUAAAUGAAAGAUAUUGUUUCCAUUAUUAGUAUUACGCUAGCCUGCUAGCUUGUGAUUUUAAGAGGUUUUUACAGUAACAACAACGUAGACUUAGCUAUAAAACAGUAAAAAUACUUUAUUUAGUUAGCUGAAUUUUAAAUCUACUGAGCUUAGGAGCACAUAUAAUAACUCCAGUGCAGUGCUAGUUGUAAAAUAAGUGUUGUCAACAUGUGGUCUAAAUCAUAAUGAGAUAUAAAAGCAACAUCUGAGAAAUGUUCA